UUCAGAGGUGGCGAGCGUUAUUCGGAAUUAUUGGGCGUAAAGGGCGCGUAGGCGGCUUGACAAGUCCCGGGUGAAAUCCCUCGGCUCAACCGAGGAACUGCCUUGGAAACUGUCUGGCUUGAGGCCGGGAGAGGGUAGUGGAAUUCCCAGUGUAGCGGUGAAAUGCGUAGAUACUGGGAGGAACACCGGUGGCGAAGGCGGCUACCUGGACCGGUUCUGACGCUGAGGCGCGAAAGCGUGGGUAGCAAACAGG
rnacentral:rRNA from 1 species